CCUACGGGAGGCAGCAGUGGGGAAUAUUGCACAAUGGGCGGAAGCCUGAUGCAGCGACGCCGCGUGAGGGAUGACGGCCUUCGGGUUGUAAACCUCUUUCAGUAGGGAAGAAGCGUAAGUGACGGUACCUGCAGAAGAAGCGCCGGCUAACUACGUGCCAGCAGCCGCGGUAAUACGUAGGGCGCAAGCGUUAUCCGGAAUUAUUGGGCGUAAAGAGCUCGUAGGCGGUUUGUCGCGUCUGCCGUGAAAGUCCGGGGCUCAACUCCGGAUCUGCGGUGGGUACGGGCAGACUAGAGUGAUGUAGGGGAGACUGGAAUUCCUGGUGUAGCGGUGAAAUGCGCAGAUAUCAGGAGGAACACCGAUGGCGAAGGCAGGUCUCUGGGCAUUAACUGACGCUGAGGAGCGAAAGCAUGGGGAGCGAACAGGAUUAGAUACCCUGGUAGUCCAUGCCGUAAACGUUGGGCACUAGGUGUGGGGGACAUUCCACGUUUUCCGCGCCGUAGCUAACGCAUUAAGUGCCCGCCUGGGGAGUACGGCCGCAAGGCAAAACUCAAAGGAAUUGACGG
rnacentral:rRNA from 1 species